UACGGGGGGAGCAAGCGUUGUUCGGAUUUACUGGGCGUAAAGGGCGCGUAGGCGGCUUCGUUAGUCGGGUGUGAAAUGCCUGGGCUCAACCCAGGAACUGCACUCGAAACUCCGAGGCUAGAGUGUGGGAGAGGAGAGUGGAAUUCCCAGUGUAGAGGUGAAAUUCGUAGGUAUUGGGAAGAACACCGGUGGCGAAGGCGGCUCUCUGGACCGAUACUGACGCUGAGGCGCGAAAGCGUGGGGAGCAAACAGG
rnacentral:rRNA from 1 species